CUGCUCAGUAACACGUGGACAACCUACCCUUAGGUCGGGGAUAAACCCGGGAAACUGGGUAUAAUACCCGAUAGUCCUCGAAUGCUGGAAUGCAUCGAGUGCAAAAGCUCCGGCGCCUAAGGAUGGGUCUGCGGCCUAUCAGGUAGUAGUGGGUGUAGCGUACCUACUAGCCUACGACGGGUACGGGUUGUGAGAGCAAGAGCCCGGAGAUGGAUUCUGAGACACGAAUCCAGGCCCUACGGGGUGCAGCAGGCGCGAAAACUUUACAAUGCUGGAAACAGCGAUAAGGGGACCUCGAGUGCCAGGUUACAAAUCUGGCUGUCGUGAUGCCUAAAAAGCAUUGCAUAGCAAGGGCCGGGCAAGACCGGUGCCAGCCGCCGCGGUAACACCGGCGGCUCGAGUGGUAACCGUUAUUAUUGGGUCUAAAGGGUCUGUAGCCGGCCGGAUAAGUCUCUUGGGAAAUCUGGCAGCUUAACUGUCAGGCUUUCAGGGGACACUGUCUGGCUCGAGGCCGGGAGAGGUGAGAGGUACUUCAGGGGUAGGGGUGAAAUCUUGUAAUCCUUGAAGGACCACCAGUGGCGAAGGCGUCUCACCAGAACGGACCUGACGGCAAGGGACGAAAGCUAGGGGCACGAACCGGA
rnacentral:rRNA from 1 species